CGUUCUAACUCUGAUCAGUUAUCCUGAUCGAAGACAGUGUCUGGCAGGCAGUUUGACUGGGGCGGUCGCCUCCUAAAAGAUAACGGAGGCGCUCAAAGGUUUGCUCAGAAUGGUUGGAAAUCAUUCGUAGCGUGUAAAGGCAUAAGCAAGCUUGACUGUGAGACUGACAAGUCGAGCAGGUACGAAAGUAGGACUUAGUGAUCCGGUGGUUCCGUAUGGAAGGGCCAUCGCUCAACGGACAAAAGCUACCCCGGGGAUAACAGGCUCAUCUCCCCCAAGAGUCCACAUCGACGGGGAGGUUUGGCACCUCGAUGUCGGCUCAUCGCAUCCUGGGGCUGUAGUCGGUCCCAAGGGUUGGGCUGUUCGCCCAUUAAAGCGGUACGCGAGCUGGGUUCAGAACGUCGUGAGAC
rnacentral:rRNA from 1 species